CUCAAGCAGUGGCAGAGAGCAACAACUCUGUCUCUGCCCCUCAACAACUGGACUCAGUCAUACUGUGUCUCUGGACUGGUGGGAUGAACCCCUGCUAUUCCACUACUUCUGCUUUUCAUCUACAUGUACAUCCCCAUGUUCAUCUUCCUCAGCGUGUUUAAAUAAAGUUCCGGUAUGUGUUAACUCUUGGGCUGCUUUAUUUCCCUUUAACCGGGAGCGGCAUCAGUCACAAUCCAGUUAAAUACAUAGACCCGGGUCGCUCUCUUUCAAGGUCCUUUGUCUCGCAGGAUUUGUCAUUUUGCUGACACCACUACAGCACGGCGGCCCACAGAGACCACACGGGGUACUUUCCACACUGCCCACCUGCGGUCCAGUGGGGUAUGGCCCCAGGGUAUCCAGUGGAUUACUACCAUGUGGAUUAUACCCCCUCUCUGGAGCCUAUGAGAGCCUGUUGGAGAGCCUGCUGACGGUGCAGCAUGGACCCUAUGGCCCUUCUCCUCCACCUACGGGAUACUACUCAGAACCAGAUGGGGCCACAUCCCCAGAAACCCAACGCCUGGAUUGUUCUUCUACAUUGGAGUACCAGGGAGCUGCAGCGUUGCGAACAUCGCUGCAUAUGUCAUGAGUACAGGAAGCUCGUUUUGCCCGAAUUGAGCAGAAUAUACAGUAUUUUUCACAUUAUGCAACAGAAGACCAGAUCCCAGGCUUCCUCCUAUUAGGGGAGCCCUCUCCAACAGGUUGCAGUGGAGAACAUGGGACAGUCAUGGUGGACAGCGGCAAGAAGUUGUCUCUUCGGCCCUGGCACUGUUGCCAGGUGUGACUGUGACCGUCGAAUGUGACUAUAUUGCCUCUCCAGCCUGAGCACCUUUGUCGGGACAGCGACACGUCAUGUCCUCGGCCCGCUAUGCUGCCUCUGUAUCUCUUGUAACCUGCAAACAUGUUCAGGGAUUAUAUGUCAUUUAUACAGUCCUUAAUGACUGUUACUACCUCUCUUGUGAGAUCGUAUGUACAACAUUUCCAUUGCCUUUCAAUUCCUUCUACAGAACCACUAGUAUUCCACUACCUCUCCCACUUUUCAUCCCCAUGUUCACCUUCCUCAGUGUGUUUAAAUAAAGUUCCUGUAUGUGUUAA